rnacentral:rRNA from 1 species
UACGUAGGGACCGAGCGUUGUCCGGAAUCAUUGGGCGUAAAGAGCGUGUAGGCGGCUAUUUAAGUCCUGCGUGAAAUCCUGCGGCUCAACCGCAGACGGUCGUGGGAAACUGGAUGGCUAGAGUGCGGGAGAGGAGAGUGGAACUGCGAGUGUAGAGGUGAAAUUCGUAGAUAUUCGCAAGAACACCAGUGGCGAAGGCGGCUCACUGGCCCGAUACUGACGCUGAGGUGCGAAAGCGUGGGGAGCAAACAGG